rnacentral:lncRNA from 1 species
CAUCAAACCCAUCGAUUCCCCAUUCUCUCGGCUGCCUCGUCGCCUCCGACGGCGCCGCCGUUCCCCUUUCGUCUCCACCUCGCGCGCGCAGCUCACGGCGCUCACCAUCGUCGCUUCCCGGCGAGGCCAUCCGCGGCCGCCAUUGCUUCUUCCCGGACGCCGCCACCGUCUCCCUACCCCGCGCGGCACCCCGUCUCGCCCUCUCUAGGGUUUUCUCAGAUUAAGAAUCGAUGUAAACCACAUUUCCCCACCCGUGCUACUCCCGAAUCCGCAAUCCCCAUCCGAAGAUCCUUGCAACCUCCGCCCCAAGAGUCUUCGCCGCCGGCCAGCGCCACCAUCUUCUCGCAGUGCAAUCAGCGGCUUAGCGCCUUGUCGCCUAACUUGUCGGAGACCCAGUGCCGCUUCGUCGUCGUUGAGCUAGUGGCGCCGCAGCCUCCCCGCGGACGCGGUGCCGGCCGCAGCCGUAGUCUUCUCGUGGAUCCGCCGGCCAACACCACCACCAACCAUCUCGUCCACGGCCAUCUCCCCGCUUCUCGUGGCUGCUGCUCGUCGGCUCCUCCACACCUCUCCAGUUGGUACUGCUAUGCUCUGUAUAUCCACUACUUCAUCCACUCCAUGCAGUACACCUAUCAAAUCUUUACCUUCGUAUCACAUCCAGCUAAAUUGUUCCUUUUCCGUUCACAGGGUGCAUCCUAA